rnacentral:rRNA from 1 species
UUAAUUGAAUAGUUUGAUCAUGGCUCAGAUUGAACGCUGGCGGCAGGCCUAACACAUGCAAGUCGAGCGGCAGCACAGAGGAACUUGUUCCUUGGGUGGCGAGCGGCGGACGGGGGAGUAAUGCCUGGGAAAUUGCCCGGUAGAGGGGGAUAACCAUUGGAAACGAUGGCUAAUACCGCAUAACCUCGCAAGAGCAAAGCAGGGGACCUUCGGGCCUUGCGCUACCGGAUAUGCCCAGGUGG